AUAGCCCUUAGGGGUGUUACAGAUGUGGAAGGAGUGUAAUAUGUGUGACAGUUAGUUGUAGAGAGGAGAUAAGUUAUUUCUAUGCUCAGUGUUCUGAUGUCUGUGAACAUCUGGAUGAUUAGUAUCUAAACACU
ensembl:snoRNA Gm24774 small nucleolar RNA SNORA17